GCAGCACGGAGCCUCCUUGGGAUUCUCUCUCUCCCUCUCUCUCUGCUUCACCUCCACUCGCACUGCCUCUGUUUCUCUCAAAAUAAACUUUAAAAAAAAUAAAAAAUAUAAAAAAUGAAUUUAAACUGAACCAUCAUCAGAUUUAAUUUCCUAAUACUCUGCUUUCACCAUAUACAAAAUCUUUCCAUAUCUAUACCUUACCCAAAAUUCUUAGUGUUUUAAGAUUGUUUUUAAGUUUAUUUAUACAUUCAGAGAGAGGGAGCGAGAGAAAGAGCACGUAUGCAUAGGGAGAGGGGCAGAGAGAGAGGAGAGAGAGAAUCCCAAGCAGGCUCUGCCCUGUGUUGUUAGUGUGGAGCCCAAUGCAGAGCUCGAACCCAUGAACCGUGAGAUGGUGACCUGAGCUGAAACCAAAAGUCAGACGCUUCACCGGCUGAGCCACCCAGGUAUCCCUGCAUUAAGAUUUAAGAUGUACUGUAGUUUGUCCCAAACUCAAGUCCUCUAGCCCUCACCCCCAGAAUGUCCCUUCCCUGGUAUUUCUCUGCACAAAGAGAGUAUCCACUCGCUGUACCGUGAAUAUGUCUCUGUAUGGUACCCUGAACAGAUUUGUACUGUUUGAAUUCUUCAUCGGUGAGCAUAAAAUGAAACUGUCUAAAAUAUCAGUAACAAGACAUUGAACUUGUAGACUGGCCCCAAGAAAUGAUUAAUCAAUAAGGAAAGUGUUUGAUGUAAAUAGCUUAUACACAAGAGCAGACAGCUGGGGAGUAGAGGCAAUCAUAUGAGAUUGGAAAAAGCUAGUCUUAAAGAAAACACACUAGAAAAACUUGGAGUUUGUAAAGCUGUGACACCUGUGCUAGAGCUGCAAUCUCUUUGCUAUGCCUGGAGCAUUUGAAAGGGCUGCAAGGCACACUUGGUUCUUGGCAAAGUAUGCCAAUGAUACCCAGCAUCCUGCUCUGGGCCUCCAGUCACCCAUUUGUCCACAUCAAGUUCCCUCAGGUGGUGAGGGAAACACUCCCUCUAACAAUCUUCCUCUUCCCCUGCAGCCCCCUAAGCGUUUAUUUCCUGCCGUCCUAUGAAUGGAUCCAGGAAAGAGAGGCCAGGAACAGACAGAAGAAAGGGAGCAGCUCUGCUCUGGUGCCCAAGCCACUGUGCACAGACACCGCAGGCAAAGACUUGAAGGACAGCUAAUCUGAGUUCUGGUGGAACACCUCGUGAACCUCCUGGGACACCAGCGGAGACGAGGUCCAUAGGCGCUGGUAAGAGACCAUCUCCUACUCACCUGCUUAUCUUCUCUGGGAACCUGUCAUGAAGAGUUUCCCAUUGCCUCUCAGGUACCAAUGAGGUGUGGAACUCUCUGCCCCAUUCCCCUCAGAACAGACCUGCUGAAUAUAAAACCUGUUAGUGGCAGUCUAGAAUCGGAUCCUCAACGAUACCCCACAAUUCAUAUCCCAGUCAUCUGCUUCUUGUUUUGGUGUCUUCUUUCAGCAUGUUGGACAAGAACCACAGAAAGUGGUGCUUUUGCUACCACUUGUUUCGCUGUUUUUAUGGAUAAUAAAUGGUCUGAACCUAAAA